GUGGGGAAUAUUGCGCAAUGGGGGGAACCCUGACGCAGCGACGCCGCGUGAAGGAAGAAGGCCUUCGGGUUGUAAACUUCUUUGACUGGGGACGAAGGAAGUGACGGUACCCAGGGAACAAGCCACGGCUAACUACGUGCCAGCAGCCGCGGUAAUACGUAGGUGGCGAGCGUUGUCCGGAAUUACUGGGUGUAAAGGGCGCGUAGGCGGGUGAGUAAGUCAGGUGUAAAAACAAUCGGCUCAACCGGUAAGUAGCACUUGAAACUGCGCAUCUUGAGUACUGGAGAGGGAAGCGGAAUUCCUAGUGUAGCGGUGAAAUGCGUAGAGAUUAGGAGGAACACCAGUGGCGAAGGCGGCUUUCUGGCCAGCAACUGACGCUGAGGCGCGAAAGCGUGGGGAGCAAACAGGAUUAGAAACCCUAGUAGUCC
rnacentral:rRNA from 1 species